AUUGAACGCUGGCGGCAUGCCUUACACAUGCAAGUCGAACGGCAGCACGGGAGCAAUCCUGGUGGCGAGUGGCGAACGGGUGAGUAAAGUAUCGGAACGUGCCCAGUCGUGGGGGAUAACGUAGCGAAAGUUACGCUAAUACCGCAUACGAUCUAUGGAUGAAAGCGGGGGAUCGCAAGACCUCGCGCGAUUGGAGCGGCCGAUAUCAGAUUAGGUAGUUGGUGGGGUAAAGGCUCACCAAGCCGACGAUCUGUAGCUGGUCUGAGAGGACGACCCGCCACACUGGGACUGCGACACGGCCCAGACUCCUACGGAAGGCAGCAGUGGGGAAUUUUGGACAAUGGGCGAAAGCCUGAUCCAGCCAUGCCGCGUGCAGGAUGAAGGCCUUCGGGUUGUAAACUGCUUUUGUACGGAACGAAAAGGUUUGGCCUAAUAAGCUGAGCUCAUGACGGUACCGUAAGAAUAAGCACCGGCUAACUACGUGCCAGCCGCCGCCGUAA
rnacentral:rRNA from 1 species